GGGUAAUUAGAUCAAGUGGUAGAGCACAUGCUUAACAUGCAUGAGGUCCUGGGUUCAAUCCCCAGCACCUC
rnacentral:tRNA from 1 species